AGGUUUUUGAUGGCUCAGGAUGAACAGCUGGCGGCCUGCUUAACGCAUGCCAGUCAAGCCAAACACUUAAGACUGAUUCUUCGGAUGAAGACUUUUGUGACUGAACGGCGGACGGGUGAGUAAGGAUUGGGUAACCUGCCUCAUACAGGGGGAUAACAGUUAGAAAUGACUGCUAAUACCGCAUAAGACCACGGUACCGCAUGGUACAGUGGUAAAAACUCCGGUGGUAUGAGAUGGACCCGCGUCUGAUUAGGUAGUUGGUGGGGUAACGGCCUACCAAGCCAACGAUCAGUAGCCGACCUGAGAGGGUGACCGGCCACAUUGGGACUGAGACACGGCCCAGACUCCUACGGGAGGCAGCAGUGGGGAAUAUUGCACAAUGGGGGAAACCCUGAUGCAGCGACGCCGCGUGAGUGAUGAAGUAUUUCGGUAUGUAAAGCUCUAUCAGCAGGGAAGAUAAUGACGGUACCUGACUAAGAAGAUCCGGCUAAAUACGUGCCAGCAGCCGCGGUAAUACGUAUGGAGCAAGCGUUAUCCGGAUUUACUGGGUGUAAAGGGAGCGUAGGCGGUCCUGCAAGUCUGAUGUGAAAACCCGGGGCUCAACCCCGGGACUGCAUUGGAAACUGUAGGACUAGAGUGUCGGAGGGGUAAGUGGAAUUACUAGUGUAGCGGUGAAAUGCGUAGAUAUUAGGAGGAACACCAGUGGCGAAGGCGGCUUACUGGACGACCACUGACGCUGAGGCUCGAAAGCGUGGGGAGCAAGACGGGAUUAGAUACCCUGGUAGUUCACGCCGUAAAC
rnacentral:rRNA from 1 species